CCCGCAUCUCUCUUUCUCUCUCUCGACAGCAGUCGAGCAAAUCUCCGGCGUAAGCGCGAGCAUCUCGACGACGGGCCUCCUUGAUUUCGGCGGCGGUGGAGGAUUCCGGCACGCGCGGCGAGGCAUCCGUCCUUCCAUGACGGCCUGAUGGGCGGAGCGAGGUGGCACGGCAUCCACGGCCUUCACCCCCAGCGGUGGCGUGCGUCGAGGAGUCGGGGGCUCUAACAUGAGGCGCGGCGCCGCUCUCCCCUGCACGGCGGCAGUGGCCUCCCGCCGGUGGCAGUUACGGAUUUUCUCGCGGCGGAUCUGAGGUCAGCGGGUCUCCGACGCCGCGGGUGGGGGUCGCGGAUGCCGACGCAGGGGAUGGUGCGGGCAACAUCAGGACGCCGACGUGCUGCGCUCUGGUUUGUUUUCUCGCCGAUGCGGAGCUUGCUGCACGGACUGCCCAGCCCAGGCGUUGGCGAAGUCUCGUGUCAUGGCAGGCACUACUUCUGCUGAUGCGUGUGCGGCCAGGUAUUGCCACUAGUUUCUGAUGAUAGCAUUUGUAGCGUACAGACAUUAAAACCAUGACGAUUCACCACUACAUCUGCCUCCCAUUUUAGUGUCAAUUGAUGCUGGUCCGUGAUAGUAGUCCUGGGAUAGUAAUUGAUUUGGGAUUUUGGAUUUGAUUCACUAUUGGAUUGAUGCUACUUUUUCAGUUGUGUAAAAACAGAGCAAAUUAUCACCAACUGACAUGGCAAUUUUACAAUCUUUUUAUAGCUAUCAUCUUUUUUUAGUAAAACUAGGCACACAUCGUCUCAGAGACGACUUCUCCCUCGGACAGGCCUAGGUCCAGCAUCUCAACAACCAAGUGAUUCAUAUUGGUAUUGUGUCCCUAGGAGCGUUUGUCAGGAUGCUAUCUGUACCCAACGAACUGUCGAUUUCUUCAGUUAACUUGCCAACACCUUCAGUUAAUGCUUGAGUAAUCCACGGCAACUCUUCGCUGCCGGUUGAAGCGUGGAAAGCUGCAAGUCCAGGUGGUACUAACAACAAGCGAGACCUUCAGCCACAACAAUCAAGCAAGUGCUAGAUCACAGGCUACGUCGUCGUGCUUGCAGGGGAGGAGACCAGAUGAGGCAAGCCUGGCCUAGCCGCUGACGACGGCCAAGGGUGCUCGAUUGAGCUCGUGGAUGAUGUCUCGUCUCUCGACGGUGAAGUCGGCAAAAGACCGAAUGACAUGGUUCCUGUCCCUCAUGUCCCUAAAACAAACGGAGACAUUCCUUCUUUUGAUGAAGCCUUUUCAGAUCACCGGUGACUUCUCGACAAGUUGGUGAUGUAUGGCCUGGUCAUCCAGUUCCUCAACCCCAAAGGUCUGUUAUUUAUUUCCUUCAUGGUGUCUCUGCAUACUCGCUGCUUGCUUCUGCUUACCAUGUGGAGGUGCAGAUGGGGAUUACUGACUUGUUUGUGUCCUGUUUUCUGUCGAUGCAGUGCAAGCGUCCAUUGCCGCAAACACAUGGGUGGUCAGUGGGACUCCCCAGACCAAGAUUCGUUGUCAGAAUCCAUGGCGCUGGCCGCGCCACACCUUUUCCUGCUUCUUCUCGUCUGAGGCGAGCACCAGCGGUACGUAUCAGCCCUCUUCUCUAUGGUGCUGGCUAGUGCUUAUACUUAUUUGGUUUUGGUGCCUGGUCGGACCUUCUCUAUGCGAAUGAGGGAUCCAUGAUGUUGCGAGGUGUUGAUUGCCUUCUAGCAAAAAUCUUGAGCGUUGGGUAUCCCUGGCUGUAAACUGAAUCUGGUUCAGUUAAAAACUACACUGUCAAAUCUGGACAGCCAGCUUCUAGACGCAGCAUCUUCACUUCUUUCCUUGCACAUUCCUGUUAAGGAAGCAAAGAAAUCUUGGAUUCAUUAAUGGGAGAAGCACAUAAGGGAGAAGAAGAUGAUUGCAAGGAUGGAGAGGGAGCAAAUCAUUUGGAGGGAUAGAAUGCCACUGUUUGGUGUUUUUAUGCAAUUUUGUUUGCUUUCAACUGUGUUUGCACUAGCUGGGAAUAAGUGACUAGGCAAUAAGUGUAGAUGUAUGGAUAUGUAUGCACUAUAAAUCUUCGAUUUGGAAUGA